GCUUAAAGAGGGGUUAAUGUCCUAUCAGCUAGUUGGUGGGGUAAUGGCCUACCAAGGCAAAGACGGGUAGCCGGCUUGAGAGGGUGGUCGGCCACACUGGGACUGAGACACUGCCCAGACUCCUACGGGAGGCUGCAGUCGAGAAUCUUUCGCAAUGCCCGAAAGGGUGACGAAGCGACGCCGCGUGUGGGAAGAAGGCCUUCGGGUUGUAAACCACUGUCGGGAGUUAGGAAAUGCAGGUGCGUUAAUAGCGCACUUGCUUGACUAAGGCUCCAGAGGAAGCCACGGCUAACUCUGUGCCAGCAGCCGCGGUAAUACAGAGGCGGCAAGCGUUGUUCGGAAUUAUUGGGCGUAAAGAGCACGUAGGCGGCCUUGCAAGUCAGUUGUGAAAGCCUUCCGCUUAACGGGAGAACGGCAUCUGAUACUACAGGGCUUGAGUACGGGAGGG
rnacentral:rRNA from 1 species